UAGCGAAAUUCCUUGUCGGGUAAGUUCCGACCUGCACGAAUGGCGUAACGACUUCCCCACUGUCUCGACCAGGAGCUCGGCGAAAUUGCAGUACGAGUAAAGAUGCUCGUUAAGCGCAGAAGGACGAAAAGACCCCGGGACCUUUACUAUACCUUGGUAUUGGCAUUCGGUGUGGAUUGUGUAGCAUAGGCGGAAGGCUUCGAAGCCACGGCGCCAGCCGCGGUGGAGCCGCAAGGUGAAAUACCGCUCUGUUCGCAUUGGAUGUCUAACCUCGACCAGUCAUCCUGGUCAGGGACAGUGCCUGGCGGGUAGUUUAACUGGGGCGGUUGCCUCCCAAAGAGUAACGGAGGCGCUCAAAGGUUCCCUCAGCCCGGUUGGCAAUCGGGUGGCGAGUGUAAGUGCACAAGGGAGCUUGACUGCGAGACUGACGGGUCGAGCAGGGACGAAAGUCGGAACUAGUGAUCCGGUGCCGGUGUACGGACGCGGCAUCGCUCAACGGAUAAAAGGUACCCCGGGGAUAACAGGCUGAUCAUUCCCAAGAGUCCAUAUCGACGGGAUGGUUUGGCACCUCGAUGUCGGCUCGUCGCAUCCUGGGGCUGGAGCAGGUCCCAAGGGUUCGGCUGUUCGCCGAUUAAAGCGGCACGCGAGCUGGGUUCAGAACGUCGUGAGACAGUUUGGUCUCUAUCCUCUGCGCUCGUCGGAAUGUUGAGGAGGCCUGCCCAUAGUACGAGAGGACCUGGGUGGACGAACCUCUGGUAUGCCGGUUGUCACGCCAGUGGCACGGCCGGUUGGCUACGUUCGGAAGGGAUAACCGCUGAAAGCAUCUAAGCGGGAAGCCUGCUCCAAGAUAAGCAUUCCAUAGGACUACGGGUCCUUGAAGUCCCCAUGCAGAACACGUGGUUGAUAGGCCGGACGUGGAAGCCCCGCGAGGGGUGGAGCCGACCGGUACUAACGGACGAAAGGCAACACAAC
rnacentral:rRNA from 1 species